GACGAACGCUGGCGGCGUGCCUAAUACAUGCAAGUCGAACGCAGUGGGGACGGGUGAGUAACACGUGGGUAACCUCCCAUCAGAGGGGAUAACACUUGGAAACAGGUGCUAAACCGAUACUGAUGGAUGGACCCGCGGGGCAUUAGCUAGUUGGUGAGGUAACGGCUGAACAAGGCCACGAGGCAUAGCCGGCCUGAGAGGGUGAGAGGCCACACUGGAACUGAGACACGGACCAGACGCCUACGGUAGGCAGCAGUAGGGAAUCGUCGGAAAUGGACGAAAGGCUGACCGAGCAAUGCCGCGUGAGUGAAGAAGGUUUGCGGACCGUAAAACUCUGUUGUUAGAGAAGCGGUAUCUAACCAGAAAGCCACGGCUAACUACGUGCCAGCAGCCGCGGUAAUAC
rnacentral:rRNA from 1 species